rnacentral:rRNA from 1 species
UACGGAGGUCCCGAGCGUUGUUCGGAAUUACUGGGCGUAAAGGGCGCGUAGGCGGCCUUCUAAGUCAGACGUGAAAUCCCCCGGCUUAACCUGGGAACUGCGUCUGAUACUGGAGGGCUUGAGUGCGGGAGAGGGAUGUGGAAUUCCAGGUGUAGCGGUGAAAUGCGUAGAUAUCUGGAGGAACACCGGUGGCGAAGGCGGCAUCCUGGACCGGUAUUGACGCUGAGGCGCGAAAGCCAGGGGAGCAAACGGG